UGGGAUUUUGACAAUAUUGUGUAUUUUAAUUUGAAAUAUUUUAAUUUAUUUUUAAGUUAUUAUGGAUACAUGUUUAUGAUACUAAAGUUAGUCAGAUAUCUCUAUAUAUGCGUUAAUGUUUUAUAAUUACCUCAAAACAUAGACUUUUUUUACUGAGGUUUUAUUUUUCCCUUUCCUCUUUUUGGACGCUCCAGGUCCUUCAACUGAACGUGAUCGCCGCAGUUGUAAAAAUAAAAGUUCUUAGUUAAAAAGUACUUUAGUCGUCAAUGUCUAAUAUAUCAAAUUUAUUUGUGCCUUUGGGUUAUAUAAAAGAGCACUUUCAGGGUAUUUUUGGAUAUAUUUUUCAAACGAUAAGAGGAAUUAACUGAUAUGAAGGGUGGGACACGAAAGUUAUUCCCAGUUCGUGCCAUUUGAGAACGAUCAAGUAUAUUAUUGUAAAGAUCCUUGAACCUUAACCCACAGGUUUAAGAAAAAUUAAGCAAUUUAUAGCUUUUAUUAAGAGGAUUCCUUGCUUUUGAAAAAUGUUAAAAUAUUUCAACUAGAUAGGAUUGCCCGUCUGCCAAC
rnacentral:lncRNA from 1 species